CUACGUUUUCUGCACCAGCUCCAUGGAGUGCGGCUGGGCUCCGAGAGCCCCCUCCAGCUGGGACCUGCUUGUAUGCAGGUUUACAGAGUCUGUGGCUUGAUAAUUAACUGGCUCAGUUGUCUGUCCCUGCUCUGGAGACCUCCCAGUGCCAGCUCCCACGUCCCUCUCUCAUCCUCACGUCCUGCACAGCUGGGUGGCAGAAUAACGACUUCAUUAAGCACAUCCUGCUUUGGUUCUCCAAGGACAUCGGUCCAUUAGGAAGACUAAUCUGCCAACAGCAGCCACACUGCUGGUCCAGCAUGUGGAGACCAGUGAGGGGGCCCUGAAAAGAUAGGGUGGCCUAGACUCAAGCUGCCACCUGUAGGGUGUUCCAGGCCUCCUUCGUGGAGUGAGGGUUGGGUGAGGAGAUGGAGUGAUCAAUGAAAGCCUCACAGUGAGAAGAGCAAGCAUGCAGGCCUUCCGCCUGGCACUCGAUUUGUGAUGCCUGAUGAGCUACAGGGCUGAUCCUGCUGAAAACGAGACUCACGAUUUGAUCACACCGGCGAGCAAUGACAACACGAUUGAAUUUGCAGCCCUGACAGAUGUGUUUUAUGAACGCUGGGGCACUGAUCAGAGAGGAGAGGAAUGCCGGGGCAUGUUAUUGAACUUGGAUGAGUCUGAAAAACAGCUGCUUCUUCCUGCCUGGAGUGAUGAGUCUCUCCCUUCCCGAGAAGCCCUUGAGGAGUUCACAGGAGUGAGUUCCCGGGAGAACACUGACUUUCUUCUGUUUGCUGCUGUCAAGAGCCUGUUCCUGUGCCCCAGGAUGUUUGUCUCAGUUUUGACCCAGGAGGAGAUCAUUAGGGGUCAUGGGGAUUUUCCCAUGACCCACUGAGAGAGGAAGAGAAAACACACCUCCGGUUUCCAAAAGCUUCUGUUUGCUACAGCAGAGCUUUUCAGACUAGCAACAGAGUCUGUUUGGUUGGCUACAGAUCCAAACAGAAGUGUGCCUAUAUCUGUUCACAGGGCUUGAACUUGGGGACGGGUGGGUGGAUCUCUCAAAAGAGCUAGUCUUGGCCCCGGCAGCUGCAGUUUGCCCAGUCCUGGUGUAAACUCCUGAAGACUCAGUUGUGGAACCAGCAAGGAGGGUGCCCACUGGCAUAUGCUUUAGACCUGUGACCCACACAGGGUGUUGUUCUAUCCAUAGUUAGACUAUGGAUCUGGAAUUAAGGAAAGAAGUGAGAACGGGUGAGGCAACAUAUUUUAGCUUGAGGCUCCAUUCCCAGGGCUCCAGGCACCACUGAAUUAGACCCUGUGUUUUCUGGGGGUCUGCAGCAGAGGGUUCUACUCGAAAUGCACUAGAGCUUAACAGGUUCUGAGUCAACAAAGAAAGGAUUUUGUACUGGUUGUAGGCAACGGAUCUGUCAAAGGAGAGUGGGUGAUGGGGACCAUGAGGGUCCAGUCUGGAGUCUCUCUGGGGACCUUUCCUGAUCUUUGUCUAGAUAAAGGACAGAAGAAAGGCAGAGCGGCAGGGGGCACAGCGUCCUCAAGGAGGACGGUUGGUUUAGCUGUCAGUGAAGAACCUCAGCUGGGGGUCUGUGUGGAAUCACAGGGAACGUAAAGCAGAUAGAAGAAGGGAGGAAAGAAGUCUGGUUGGACAAUCAGGGAGUGUAGCCAUGCUGUCUUCCCCCACUGCGUAGGAUGUGUUUAUUUGCUAAUGUUUCCAGAUUUCUCCUCUGUCCCCCGUUCUUAAUAAAUGGCAUUCAACAUUUAACCCAGUGCUAGUGAGUAUUAGGUUGCAUGGUGACUGAACUGAAAGGGGGGAAGGUGGGAAGGUGGGGGGGGUGGUCAGUGUUGCCUAUUGGGGAGAGGUGAGAAUGUUCUCGUGUGUACAGGAGAUGGCUACAAAUAGGAUGUGCCAGGGCUGCUUUUGUUUGGGAGAGCAAGGAAGCAGCUGGGUUCUGAGGGCAUGAUGCAAGCCCCCCUCCCUUUGAGGCUCUAAGAAUGAGACCUAUAUUUCCUGGGCUCAUUGUAAGCUGUCAUCUCUGCAUGAGCCAAUGAAGUCACUUAGAAGGAUAGCAGAGAGCCCCCAGCUGCGGUGGCUAGGCUCCAAGUCUGGACCCAGGUACACAGCAUAAAGGCUUUGUCUUCCUUUAGUGACAGGGCGGGCUCCUGCCCCAGCGCAGAGGCUGUAGUACUGUUCAUGACUGAAGCAAUGCCGUAACUAUUCCUUCAGCCAGUACAGGCCCUGAAUAGCUUUGUAUUCUUCCCCUCUCAGUCCUGGGUGCAGAACCUUCCUUUCUUUUCUGUUUGUUGUGCUAUUGGGGUUGAGAUGUGUCCCCACAAAGCUCAAGUGUUGGAGAGCCGAGCCCCAAACUACUUAUUAAUGGUGUCUGGAGGUUCAGUUUCUGGGAAGUGACUGGGUGUAGAAGAGGUCUUGAAGGAGACUUCAAGGUAGCAUCAGCAGAAUAAGAGAGACAUGAGCUUAAAUGAUGCUCUGUCUCCCAUGUGCCACUCUGUGUCGUGUUUAUUGUAACUGUGGUCUUUGUCAGAUGUCACUAGAUGCCAGCAGCACCAUGCUCCUGGACUUCCAAGCCUCCAGAAAUCUGAGCCAAAUGAACCUCUCUUCUUUAUAAAUUAGCCCCUCUUGGGCAUUUUCUUACAUCAGUAGGAAAUGGUCUAAGGUUUAUGCCCAGAGUUUUAUAGCGAUUGCUACAGAAUGAGACAGCCUCCAUAUGCCCCAGGCUCCAGGAUAUCUUUUUAGGUACCUUCAGCUUCCUGGCUUUUCUGAAUGUGACUGUCUGUGAGACUGUUAGGCGGUAUAUGUCUGUCUUCUAAAUAGUAAAGAAGGGUGUGUUGACUUCAGAUGGGGCUCUCAGCCUCAGACCCCUCACAAUUGAGGCAGAUAGUUCUUGCUGUGGGUCUGACAUAGGCCUCUUUCCAGAAGUCACUAGCAUCUCAGGAGUGCAUUUCCAGGCACUCCAGGGCCGUUGGGAUACUUUCCUUGGGGGUAAGAAACACUAGGUGAGGAAGCAGACAGAGACGGGGCAUUUUCUCAAAACAGAGGUGGCACAGUGGAGUUCUGGGGCAUAGGGACAUGAAAUAGCAUCUUAAAAAAUGAGGACAAUUUUUAAUUUCAAAAUAA
ensembl:lncRNA